GCUCCGGUGGCCUAAGUGGUUAGAGCGUCCGCCUCGGAUGCGGGAUGUCGUGAGUUAGAUUCCCAGCCGAAUCA